AGUGAACGCUGGCGGUAGGCCUAACACAUGCAAGUCGAACGGCAGCACAGUAAGAGCUUGCUCUUACUGGUGGCGAGUGGCGGACGGGUUAGGAAUACAUCGGAAUCUACUUUUUCGUGGGGGAUAACGUAGGGAAACUUACGCUAAUACCGCAUACGACCUACGGGUGAAAGCAGGGGAUCUUCGGACCUUGCGCGAUUGAAUGAGCCGAUGUCGGAUUAGCUAGUUGGCGGGGUAAAGGCCCACCAAGGCGACGAUCCGUAGCUGGUCUGAGAGGAUGAUCAGCCACACUGGAACUGAGACACGGUCCAGACUCCUACGGGAGGCAGCAGUGGGGAAUAUUGGACAAUGGGCGCAAGCCUGAUCCAGCCAUGCCGCGUGGGUGAAGAAGGCCUUCGGGUUGUAAAGCGCUUUUGUUGGGAAAGAAAAGCAGCAGGUUAAUACCCCGCUGUUCUGACGGUACCCAAAGAAUAAGCACCGGCUAACUUCGUG
rnacentral:rRNA from 1 species